UCCAGACUCCUACGGGAGGCAGCAGUGGGGGAUAUUGCACAAUGGGGGGAACCCUGAUGCAGCGACGCCGCGUGGGUGAAGGAGCGUUUCGGCGCGUAAAGCCCUCUCGGCAGGGAAGAAGGAGGACGGUACCUGACUAAGAAGCCCCGGAUAACUACGUGCCAGCAGCCGCGGUAAUACGUAGGGGGCAAGCGUUAUCCGGAUUUACUGGGUGUAAAGGGGGCGCAGACGGCAGCGCAAGCCAGGAGUGAAAGCCCGGGGCCCAACCCCGGGACUGCUCUUGGAACUGCGUGGCUGGAGUGCAGGAGGGGCAGGCGGAAUUCCUGGUGUAGCGGUGAAAUGCGUAGAUAUCAGGAGGAACACCGGUGGCGAAGGCGGCCUGCUGGACUGCAACUGACGUUGAGGCCCGAAAGCGUGGGGAGCAAACAGGAUUAGAUACCCUAGUAAGG
rnacentral:rRNA from 1 species